GCCCUUGUGGAUUAGUGGGAGAUCAUCCUUAGGUAAUGCCCUAUGUUGAUCAUAAAAAUCCUUGAGGAAGAUGUGGGUUCGAAUCCCGCAAAGGGCG